AAACCAUUUGGCUGUUCUGAAUGUGGUCAAAGAUUUGGACAAAAGAUCACUCUGAACACACACAUGAUAAUUCAUAUGGGACAAAAACAAUUUGGCUGUUCUGAAUGUGGUCGAAGAUUUGGACGAAAAAGCCACCUGAAUGAACACGUGAUAAUUCAUACAAAACAAAAACCAUUUUGCUGUUCUGAGUGUGGACGAAGAUUUGGACUAAAGAGUUACCUGAACAGACACAUGAAAAUUCAUACAACUUAUGUAAGUGCUGCAGGGAAACGUCUGUCCUGUGCCAGCACUCGGCUGGAUAACCCACCAGAUCACCAAAGUACUGAUCCCGGACCCCAGCGACAACAGCCUCAAAGAGCGAAAAGAAACGAAAAGCCAAAUGGAAAGGAUAAAAGAAGCAGAAGUGAAAGAAAACACCACAUCUGCAAAAGUACACUUGAUUUCCUCUAAAGUCCCAACAUGUUUCACAGCAGAAAAAAAUAGAAAGUAUAAAGGAAGAAUCCCAAGAAGAAGCAAUGAGUGAUCACUAGUCAUGAGAGGAAGGGAAACAGGUAGAAGUCGGUACUGCUGUGGGCAAUAGAAUAUGCCAAAGUGAAACACACCAACCAGAGAGAAAGAUGCAUAGAAUGGCAUAAGGUAUUUUCCCACCACUGCCCAAGUAAGAAAGACAUACUAAGAGGAUAAUGUACCACCCAAAGACACAGUUUUCUCACAAAAACACUUCAUGGAUGAGUAAAUACAAGCGAUGCCAGAUGAAAUGAACUAAAUAGUGAAGUACAACAUGUCCUCUCACACAGCCCAUUGCAUCACCAAAAAUAACCCUCCUCAGCAAACACAUAUUUGGCAAAGAACACCAGAACCAGUCAGCCUCUCACACAAAAUGACAAGUACGAGUUAUUCAUUACCCCAACACAUCAGGAGUCAUUCACCACCCCAACAAAUCAGGAGUCAUUCAUCACCCAAACCACAAAACAAUACACAGAUGUAGUCAGACCAAGAGCAGUGGGAAUUAGAAGAAUAUUUAGCCAACAAGAUUAAGGAAACAAGAAGAAUGGACAUGCAGGAGCAUCCUAAACUGAUGAAAUUGAAGGAAGACAAAAUGUUUAAAAAUGUUUCUACAAAACAUUAACCUAGGAGUGGCUAGACUGGUCCCAGAAGGAACAACAUUGACCAAGUUAAACUGGAGUAAAUUAGCCCCAGAAUAUUUGGAGCAAAGAGGAACCAGAUGUAGGAAGAGGAAUACUUUGCCACGAUGGA